UCGCGGCUUAUCACCGGCAGUCCCCUUAGAGUGCUCAACUAAAUGGUAGCAACUAAGGGCGAGGGUUGCGCUCGUUGCGGGACUUAACCCAACAUCUCACGACACGAGCUGACGACAGCCAUGCAGCACCUGUGUUCCCGCCAGCCGAACUGAAGGGCUCCAUCUCUGGAACCCACACGGGACAUGUCAAGGGCCGGUAAGGUUCUGCGCGUUGCUUCGAAUUGAACCACAUGCUCCACCGCUUGUGCGGGCCCCCGUCAAUUCAUUUGAGUUUCAACCUUGCGGUCGUACUUCCCAGGUGGGAUACUUAAUGCUUUCGCUCAGACACUAACUGUGUAUCGCUAAUGUCGAGUAUCCAUCGUUUAGGGCGUGGACUAC
rnacentral:misc_RNA from 1 species